UUAAGCAUAUCACUAAGCGGAGGAAAAGAAACUAACAAGGAUUCCCUUAGUAACGGCGAGUGAACAGGGAAAAGCCCAGCACCGAAGCCUGUGGUCAUUUGGCCCCUAGGCACUGUGGUGUUUAGGUCUGCCCGCGGAAGCGCUGUCCCACUCUAAGUCCAGCAAUGAGUACGGCAUCUGUGACUUGGCCCAAAGAGGGUGAAAGGCCCGUGAGAGUGGGGUUCAGAUAAGCCAGCGCAUUCCCUGAGUUGACCUUGGAGUCGGGUUGUUUGUGAAUGCAGCCCAAAGUGGGUGGUAAACUCCAUCCAAGGCUAAAUACUUACACGAGUCCGAUAGCGAACAAGUACCGUGAGGGAAAGUUGAAAAGUACUUUGAAGAGAGAGUAAACAGUGCGUGAAACCGCUCACAGGUAAACGGGUGGAGUUGAACUGCAAGCCAUGAGAAUUCAGCUGAUAGGAUUGACGUGAUCUUGGUCACGUGUGUUCUUCCAGAGUCUGUGUAGCAACAGGUUCUGCUUUGGGUUCUGCCUAAAGUAGGAUGCGCGAUGCACUUGUCAAGUGUUGUGCGCUCUGGUUAUAUCGAACGCUCCUGUCAGUGCACUUUCUCAUGGUGUUCACCACGACCGGCGUCUUGUCCGUCUGCUGUUGUCAAACCGGGUCUGUAUUAUCCUUGUGGUUUUACGGAUUCGGGAUGGCAGUCAGCCUGUUUGCAUUUAUGCAUUCAGGUGUAGCUGGCAACAGUAUAACUGUGCAGGAUGUCGGAGAUUGCGGCUUGUUGGGCGCUUAUUCGCAUAUCUUUUUAGCAGCCACUGGUCUGGUUAUUUUGUGCAUGGUAAACAUGCCGGGUAAUGGCCUGUGGUUGUAUUUUAAGAGUUUGCGAGGAGUGCUGUGCAGGGCCUAUAGUCUGUGGUGUAGUGGUAGACUUUCCACCCGACCCGUCUUGAAACACGGACCAAGGAGAGUAACAUGUAUGCGAGUCAUUGGGCAUUACGAAACCCAAAGGCGUAGUGAAAGUAAAGGUCCAACUCGUUUUGGACUGAGGUGAGAUUCAUCUGUUUCUCAUGUGCGGUACUACCAAGCAAUCGAGCAKAUGACGCAUCACCGGCCCGUCCCAUGGUUUAUACGGUUCCCUCGGGGACCGUAUAGCCGGGGCGGAGCAUGAACAUACAUGUUGAGACCCGAAAGAUGGUGAACUAU
rnacentral:rRNA from 1 species